rnacentral:misc_RNA from 1 species
CUUGCAGAAAGAGAAGAGGGAUGAGAAACCUUACGUAAUGACGGAAGGACCAAGGACAGCAUUUUCUUUCAAUGGUUGGAAAGAAAAUCUCCCUAAAAGAUCAUAGAGGAUACAAUUAUCUGAUCCUGUAGUUGCAGGGCAAUCAUUCACAUACAUAGCGUAAACAAACAUGGUUAUAUUAGCCGCAAAUAUGAGCGGCACAACCCAUGAGCACCAUUGCUCUGGAGGAGGCGGGGUAAAAGGCGGGGGCGGCGGAUGUUUGACAUAGGAGCUCUUCUCGAUAUCUGGCGAUGGUGGCCUCUUCCCCAUCGGCAGCGAGAAGAAAUGGACAAGGG